rnacentral:rRNA from 1 species
UGGGCGAAAGCCUGACGGAGCAACGCCGCGUGAGGGAUGAAGGCCUCUGGGCUGUAAACCUCUUUUCUCAAGGAAGAAGAUCUGACGGUACUUGAGGAAUAAGCCACGGCUAAUUCCGUGCCAGCAGCCGCGGUAAUACGGGAGUGGCAAGCGUUAUCCGGAAUUAUUGGGCGUAAAGCGUCCGCAGGCGGCCUCGUAAGUCUGUUGUUAAAGCGUGGAGCUUAACUCCAUUUCGGCAAUGGAAACUGCGAGGCUUGAGUGUGGUAGGGGCAGAGGGAAUUCCCGGUGUAGCGGUGAAAUGCGUAGAUAUCGGGAAGAACACCAGUGGCGAAGGCGCUCUGCUGGGCCAUAACUGACGCUCAUGGACGAAAGCCAGGGGAGCGAAAGGGAUUAG